AUAUGCUGGUUUCUCUUCAAAUCAUAUAAAUCUUUCACCUUUUACUAAAGGU
rnacentral:snRNA from 1 species